rnacentral:rRNA from 1 species
UACGUAGGUGGCAAGCGUUGUCCGGAUUUAUUGGGUUUAAAGGGUGCGUAGGCGGCCUUAUAAGUCAGUGCUGAAAUAUCCCGGCUUAACCGGGAGGGUGGCAUUGAUACUGUAGGGCUUGAGUAAAGUUGAGGUUGGCGGAAUUGACGGUGUAGCGGUGAAAUGCUUAGAUAUCGUCAAGAACACCGAUAGUGAAGACAGCUAACUAAGCUUUAACUGACGCUGAGGCACGAAAGUGUGGGGAUCAAACAGG